rnacentral:rRNA from 1 species
AGAGACAGCAGCCGCCGCGGGAAUACGUAGGUGGCAAGCGUUGUCCGGAAUUAUUGGGCGUAAAGCGCGCGCAGGCGGAUCGGUCAGUCUGUCUUAAAAGUUCGGGGCUUAACCCCGUGAUGGGAUGGAAACUGCCAAUCUAGAGUAUCGGAGAGGAGAGUGGAAUUCCUAGUGUAGCGGUGAAAUGCGUAGAUAUUAGGAGGAACACCAGUGGCGAAGGCGGCUUUUUGGCCUGUAACUGACACUGAGGCGCGAAAGCGUGGGGAGCAAACAGGAUUAGAUACCCCUGUAGUCCCUGUCUCUUAUACA